CACGGGGGGCCUACGGGAGGCAGCAGUAGGGAAUCUUCCGCAAUGGACGAAAGUCUGACGGAGCAACGCCGCGUGAGUGAUGAAGGCUUUCGGGUCGUAAAACUCUGUUGUUAGGGAAGAACAAGUGCUAGUUGAAUAAGCUGGCACCUUGACGGUACCUAACCAGAAAGCCACGGCUAACUACGUGCCAGCAGCCGCGGU
rnacentral:rRNA from 1 species